rnacentral:rRNA from 1 species
UAGGGAAUCUUCCGCAAUGGGCGAAAGCCUGACGGAGCAACGCCGCGUGAGUGAUGAAGGUCUUAGGAUCGUAAAACUCUGUUAUUAGGGAAGAACAAACGUGUAAGUAACUGUGCACGUCUUGACGGUACCUAAUCAGAAAGCCACGGCUAACUACGUGCCAGCAGCCGCGGUAAUACGUAGGUGGCAAGCGUUCUCCGGAAUUAUUGGGCGUAAAGCGCGCGUCGGCGGUUUUUUAAGUCUGAUGGGAAAGCCCACGGCUCAACCGUGGAGGGUCAUUGGAAACUGGAAAACUUGAGUGCAGAAGAGGAAAGUGGAAUUCCAUGUGUAGCGGUGAAAUGCGCAGAGAUAUGGAGGAACACCAGUGGCGAAGGCGACUUUCUGGUCUGUAACUGACGCUGAUGUGCGAAAGCGUGGGGAUCAAACA